UUGAUAGAUUCCUUACUUCAAGAGUUAUAUGCUAUGUUUUAUUUUUGAGAGCUGAGAGCAGUAAUAAGUAUUAAAGACUAAUUUAUUAGGUUUAGCUAUUAAGUAGAUGAGAGGAUUAUCCUGUGCCAGCAUCCGCGGUCAUACAGGAUCUUAGAGGGAUCUUUAUAAGAAAAUUUCUUUUUCUUUAUGAAUAACUUUUUAGGUUUAAAAGGUGAAAUUUGUAUUUAAUGGCUUUAUUUUGAAGAAAAGAAUAUUGAUAAGUUUAAAACUGGGAUUAGAUACCCCACUAUUUUAUCUUUUGAUCUUGGGUAGUAAGAUUGAAACCUAAAGAAUUUGGCGGUUUUUGAACUCUCUAGAGGAAUCUGUCCUAUAAUCGAUAGCCCACGAAUUUAUUUACCUAUUUUUGUUAUCAGCUUAUAUACCGCCGUUUAGGGAACUAAAUAAAUAGAUUUUCUAAAUUAACUAGUUAAUUAAAUCAGGUCAAGGUGUAGUUUAUGAAUAGGAAGAGAUGGAUUACAAUAAAAUUUUUAAACGGAUGUUAAAAUUUAGAUUUUAUUUGAAGGUGGAUUUAGAAGUAAAAUUUGAGUUUUUGAAAUGAGCUCUUGAAAAUGUACACAUCGCCCGUCGCUCUCUUGUC
rnacentral:ncRNA from 1 species